rnacentral:rRNA from 1 species
AUCAAAAGAACUUUGAAAAGAGAGUUAAACAGGGCUUGAAACCGUUAAGAGUGAAGCGAAGGAGGCCAGUGAUCAUGGAGCCAGAUCUCCACUUCUACCCGGCCAAAGAUAUUACAUGGCAUGGGUGGAGUACCGUUCUGGCAGUCCGGGGCAGCGCCGGUCAGGGUCUCGUGACAAUAGGAGAUUUGGUUGAGGGAUUCACUUCCCGCCAAUACCGUCUCGCCAUCUAUAGCUUGCGCCCUGGCCGAGGGAUCCACGCUCUGCGUGUGAGGGCGCUGUCAAAAUGGCCUUGUCCAUCCCGUCUUGAAACACGGACCAAGGAGUCUAACAUACUCGCGAGUGUUUGGGUGGUUAAGACCCGAACGCACAAUGAAAGUAAAUUGCUGCCUUGUUUUCAUCAUUCAUUGAUUGAUGUUUUCUCGGCUUUUGCAGACUGGUGGGAACCCCAAUGCAUAGAAGGGGGGCACCAUCACCCUGUCCCGAUCCCUUUGGGGUGGUUGGUUUGGAGGCUGAGCGAGUAUGCUGGGACCCGAAAGAUGGUGAACUAUUCCUGAGUAGGGCAAAGCCAGAGGAAACUCUGGUGGAGGCUCGUAGCGAUGCUGACGUGCAAAUCGCUCGUCGAACUUGGGUAUAGGGGCGAAAGACUAAUCGAACCAUCUAGUAGCUGGUUCCCUCCGAAGUUUCCCUCACGAUAGCGAGAGCACAUAUAAGUCAGUUUCAUCC